AUUGAACGCUGGCGGCAGGCCUAACACAUGCAAGUCGAGCGGAGGAAGGGAGCUUGCUCAUGGAUUCAGCGGAGGACGGGUGAGUAAUUCCUAUGAAUCUGCCUGGUAGUGGGGGAUAACGUCCGGAAACGGGCGCUAAUACCGCAUGCGUCGUGAGGGAGAACCUGGGGGAUCUUCGGAUCUCACGCUAUCAGAUGAGCCUAGGUCGGAUUAGCUAGUUGGUGGGGUUAAGGCCUACCAAGGCGACGAUCCGUAACUGGUCUGAGAGGAUGAUCAGUCACACUGGAACUGAGACACGGUCCAGACUCCUACGGGAGGCAGCAGUGGGGAAUAUUGGACAAUGGGCGAAAGCCUGAUCCAGCCAUGCCGCGUGUGUGAAGAAGGUCUUCGGAUUGUAAAGCACUUUAAGUUGGGAGGAAGGGCAGUAAGUUAAUACCUUGCUGUUUUGACGUUACCAACAGAAUAAGCACCGGCUAACUUCGUG
rnacentral:rRNA from 1 species